rnacentral:rRNA from 1 species
GAUGAACGCUAGCGACAGGCUUAACACAUGCAAGUCGAGGGGCAGCGGGGGUGAUGGCUUGCCAUCACCUGCCGGCGACCGGCGCACGGGUGAGUAACACGUAUGCAACCUGCCCGCCACAGGGGGAUAAGCGGAAGAAAUUCCGUCUAAUACCGCGUGACGCGGCGCCGGGGCAUCCCGGUGCCGCCAAAGGGAUUACCGGUGGCGGAUGGGCAUGCGGCGCAGUAGCGAGGCGGCGGGGUAACGGCCCACCGAGGCGACGAUGCGUAGGGGUUCUGAGAGGAAGGUCCCCCACACUGGUACUGAGACACGGACCAG